GAUGAACGCUGGCGGCGUGCCUAACACAUGCAAGUCGAACGGAGUUCUUAAGGAAUGCGGCUUCGGCUAAAUGACUUUUGAACUUAGUGGCGGACGGGUGAGUAACGCGUGGGUAACCUGCCCCAGACCGGGGGAUAACAGUCGGAAACGACUGCUAAUACCGCAUAAGCGCACAGUGCCGCAUGGCACGGUGUGAAAAACUCCGGUGGUCUGGGAUGGACCCGCGUCCGAUUAGUUAGUUGGUGGGGUAACGGCCCACCAAGACUGCGAUCGGUAGCCGACCUGAGAGGGUGACCGGCCACAUUGGGACUGGAGAC
rnacentral:rRNA from 1 species